rnacentral:rRNA from 1 species
UGGGGAAUAUUGCACAAUGGGCGCAAGCCUGAUGCAGCCAUGCCGCGUGUAUGAAGAAGGCCUUCGGGUUGUAAAGUACUUUCAGCGGGGAGGAAGGGAGUAAAGUUAAGACCUUUGCUCAUUGACGUUACCCGCAGAAGAAGCACCGGCUAACUCCGUGCCAGCAGCCGCGGUAAUACGGAAGGUGCAAGCGUUAAUCGGAAUUACUGGGCGUAAAGCGCACGCAGGCGGUUUGUUAAGUCAGAUGUGAAAUCCCCGGGCUCAACCUGGGAACUGCAUCUGAUACUGGCAAGCUUGAGUCUCGUAGAGGGGGGUAGAAUUCCAGGUGUAGCGGUGAAAUGCGUAGAGAUCUGGAGGAAUACCGGUGGCGAAGGCGGCCCCCUGGACGAAGACUGACGCUCAGGUGCGAAAGCGUGGGGAGCAAACAGG